rnacentral:rRNA from 1 species
AUUGAACGCUGGCGGCAGGCCUAACACAUGCAAGUCGAACGAGUGGCGGACGGGUGAGUAAUGUCUGGGAAACUGCCUGAUGGAGGGGGAUAACUACUGGAAACGGUAGCUAAUACCGCAUACCAUCGGAUGUGCCCAGAUGGGAUUAGCUAGUAGGUGGGGUAAAGGCUCACCUAGGCGACGCUCCCUAGCUGGUCUGAGAGGAUGACCAUCAACACUGGAACUGAGACACGGUCCAGACUCCUACGGGAGGCAGCAGUGGGGAAUAUGGCACAAUGGGCGCAAGCCUGAUGCAGGCAUGCCGCGUGUAUGAAGAAGGCCUUCGGGUUGUAAAGUACUUUCAGCGGGGAGGCGUUACCCGCAGAAGAAGCACCGGCUAACACCGUGCCAGCAGCCGCGGUAAUAC